ensembl:lincRNA
CUGGCCUGUUGUCCCCCCGCAGUAGCUGCUGAAUGGAUGAGUGUUAGGGGCCAAGUGAUCCCUGAUAUAUGGGAGGGAAAGAGGAACCCUGGGCCUAGAGAGGUCGGCCAGCCAGAGCCAGGAGUAGGUUGUUCUAUCCGGUCGCCACCACCGUCACGUGAUCCUGAAAGCCUUCCUCGCGCCUGGAAUUCCUUCCACCCCUACUUCUCAAAGAUGCUGCGCACACUAAGACGGAACGCGAAAGUUCUUGGAGGGGUCCUGCGGCUGCUCCAGCUCCGGGACCUGGCUUCGCAAGGACUCCAUUUCGAACUCGGCUCCGGCUCGGUCUUCCCUCGACGCCCCCAGCGCCGCCCGGGCCCCCUCCAUCCUGUGCGCAGAGGAGCGGAGAGACGCCGAGCGGGACGCUCCUGGGCCCAGGUAGGGGGUUAGCGUCUCCUCCCGGGUUGGGAUUGGUCCAGAGGAGUCGCUUAGGUUGUCAAGCCACACCCCUCCCUGUCGCCACACCCACUCCCUCCUCCCAAACCAGGGCCCCGCUGGGAUUGGCUAUGGCCCGGGUUCUGUUGGCCACGCCCCUUCAGGCUCCCUUCUGACUGAGGUUUCACUCAGAAAGACAGAGCUGGGAACAGACUCAUAAGGGGGAUCCCAGAGUUCAGACUCUUCUUUUUCUUGUCCCUGACCCCAACCGUUUCUCCCUCUAGCGCUCUGGACUGUGCUGAUUUUUGAAAGUUAUGGCUUGGGCGGAGAGCGGUUGGCCAAGCCUGUAGAAAUCCUGGGACCUCAGUAAAAUCAGCGGGUCCAAAGGAAACGGGCCUGCUUGUGGAAAGGAGCAGAGCUGAGUAUCUGGGGAAGGAGCGGGACACCUGAGAGGUCGCCCCCAAGGCAGAAGUCGCAGGGACACCUACUCUGGAGGCCCGACUCCCACUCUGCGAACUCAAUAAAGACUGAGAGAUUAAUAAGCUUGAAAAUGUGUAUUUUCACCGGGACCAGUAAUCUAAAUACCGUUAAAAAUAUAUAGAUUCCUGGCGGACUCCACCUAGACCUACCGAAUCUCAUAAGGGGAUAAAGAGGCCAAUUUUCAACAAGCGCCCCAGGACUUCCCAGGUGGUGCUAGUGGUAAAGAACUUGUCUGUCAAGGCAGGAGACAUAAGAGACUCUAGUCUGAUCCCUGGGUCGGGAAGAUCCCCUGGAGUUGCUGCUAAGUCACUUCAGUCGUGUCCGACUUUGUGCGACCCCAUAGAUGGCAGCCCACCAGGCUCCCCUGUCCUGGGAUUCUCCAGGCAAGAACACUGGAGUGGGUUGCCAUUUCCUUCUCCAGUGCAUGAAAGUGAAAAGUGAAAGUGGUCGCUCAGUCGUGUCCGACUCUUAGCGACCCCAUGGGCUGCAGCCCACUAGACUCCUUCGUCCAUGGGAUUUUCCAGGCGAGAGUAUUGGAGUGGGGCGCCAUCGCCUUCUCGGCAAAUUAUGCUAAGAAAUUUAAAUAAAAAUUUUUGAAGAGGAAAAAACCUUGUAUUCUACAAGUCCCCUGCCACAAUUAUCUAAGCUUUUCAGUAAUGCAGCAGCAGUAUCAUUUCAAUGCUUUGUCAAACUAAUGGCUCCAGAAUACUAUAAGCCAGGCUUCAGAGCAAAAUUAAGAUUUUAGUUUUACUAGUUGAGCAUUUUGUAAGAAAUCACAACAUAAGUCUAAUAUAAACAUAUGUGCCUUGAAGACACUGCUAUCAGAUAAAAUGUAAACAGUUUCAAAUAUGAAUUAAACAAAAUUAUCCCCAGUGAGUGUGGGGAUACUAAGAAAAGUGUCCGUUUCUAUAAACAUCAAAAAGUAUUUUUAAUUAAUUCUUCACUGCAUAUAAAUGUCUGCUCUAUUUGAUAACUGCAGCAAAUACAAUAAACACAGUUAUCAAACAUCAGCCUGAACCAUAAAGAAAUCUUUAUAAACAAAGAAAUAAUAAAAUUCCUAAUAAUCUGAGAUACAGAAGUGAGAAGGAUUAGCAACUGAGUAUCUGUCUAUUGGUAUUUUUAAAAUUUUACUUAAGAGACCUCAAGGUUAACAUUUUAAAAUAAUUUGGCUACAUUACCAUGUAGUAUUUAAUAAGUUUAUUUGGGCUUAUACCAUGAAAGUAUCAUCUGACUAAUCAAAGAAUUUUAAAAUAAAAAUACUAGUAAUUUUGAUUUCUGUCAACAUAUCUGGCCCAAACCAUGUUUUUCAAAAGAAACUGGAUACAACAGCACCCACUGAAAAACAAAGGUGGGGAGAGGGGCUGUAAUUAAUAAGGAACCAAUAUGAACCAAAUCUCCCUACAACACAAGAAAUUAUUAAUCAAAUGUACUUCAGAUGUACUUUAUCUUUGGGGUUUCUGGGUAUGUCCUCACUAUAAAAAUAACCUAAGUUAAACAACUGCUCCGUUACACUGAUACUGGAUCCAAAUCAAAGAAUCAAGCCGACUCCUGAAGAUAUCCUCUGUGCCAGGCAAUGGGAUUACAAAGAGGCAUUUAAUUAAGACAAGCUCUCUACCCUCAAGGAGCCCAUCACUCUCCUAGAGAAGAGAGGGUAUUAAAUACAGUAACAACAAAAGGGGCAUGAUCCAAGUGCCAAAUGAAUGUCUAUAAUGGAUGGAAUACUAUCAAAUAGUAGUACUGCAGGGAUUCUAGACUAGAAUGACCACAGGACUGAAGAGGUUAGAGGAGGCUUUGUGCAAUACAUAGAAGCCAUUAUUUGAAGGAAAGACAGGCC